rnacentral:rRNA from 1 species
UGACGCUGAGCUCGAAAGUAUGGGUAGCAAACAGGAUAGAUACCCUGGUAGUCCAUACCGUAAACGAUGAAUGCUAAGUGUGGAGGGUUCCGCCCUUCAGUGCUGCAGCUAACGCAUUAAGCAUUCCGCCUGGGGAGUACGGCUGCAAGGCUGAAACUCAAAGGAAUUGACGGGGGCCCGCACAAGCGGUGGAGCAUGUGGUUUAAUUCGAGCUACGCGAAGAACCUUACCAGGUCUUGACAUACUAUGCAAAUCUAAGAGAUUAGACGUUCCCUUCGGGGACAUGGAUACAGGUGGUGCAUGGUUGUCGUCAGCUCGUGUCGUGAGAUGUUGGGUUAAGUCCCGCAACGAGCGCAACCCUUAUUAUCAGUUGCCAGCAUUAAGUUGGGCACUCUGGUGAGACUGCCGGUGACAAACCGGAGGAAGGUGGGGAUGACGUCAAAUCAUCAUGCCCCUUAUGACCUGGGCUACACACGUGCUACAAUGGAUGGUACAACGAGUUGCGAACUCGCGAGAGUAAGCUAAUCUCUUAAAGCCAUUCUCAGUUCGGAUUGUAGGCUGCAACUCGCCUACAUGAAGUCGGAAUCGCUAGUAAUCGCGGAUCAGCAUGCCGCGGUGAAUACGUUCCCGGGCCUUGUACACACCGCCCGUCACACCAUGAGAGUUUGUAACACCCAAAGUCGGUGGGGUAACCUUUAGGAACCAGCCGCCUAAGGUGGGACAGAUGAUUAGGGUGAAGUCGUAACAAGGUAACCAAGGGCGAAUUCUG